GACGAACGCUGGCGGCAGGCCUAACACAUGCAAGUCGAGCGCCCCGCAAGGGGAGCGGCGGACGGGUGAGUAACGCGUGGGAACGUGCCCUUUGCUACGGAAUAGCCCCGGGAAACUGGGAGUAAUACCGUAUAAGCCCUACGGGGGAAAGAUUUAUCGGCAAAGGAUCGGCCCGCGUUGGAUUAGGUAGUUGGUGGGGUAAUGGCCUACCAAGCCGACGAUCCAUAGCUGGUUUGAGAGGAUGAUCAGCCACACUGGGACUGAGACACGGCCCAGACUCCUACGGGAGGCAGCAGUGGGGAAUCUUAGACAAUGGGCGCAAGCCUGAUCUAGCCAUGCCGCGUGAGCGAUGAAGGCCUUAGUGUUGUAAAGCUCUUUCGUGGGGGAAGAUAAUGACUGUACCCCAAGAAGAAGCCCCGGCUAACUCCGUGCCAGCCGCCGCCGUAAGAC
rnacentral:rRNA from 1 species